GAUGAACGCUAGCGGCAGGCCUAAUACAUGCAAGUCAAGGGGAUAGCAAUAUCACCGGCGGACGGGUGCGUAACGCGUACACAACGUGCCCAAGGGAGGGGGAAAGCGGCUGGAAACGGCCGGUAAUACCCCAUGGUGUUGUUGGAUGGCAUCAUCUGACAACUAAAGUACCAGCGCCCUUGGAUCGGUGUGCGUUCGAUUAGCUAGUUGGCGGGGUAACGGCCCACCAAGGCUCCGAUCGAUAGGGGGUGUGAGAGCAUGGCCCCCCACACGGGUACUGAGACACGGACCCGACUCCUACGGGAGGCAGCAGUAAGGAAUAUUGGACAAUGGGCGGAAGCCUGAUCCAGCCAUGCCGCGUGAAGGAUGAAGGCGCUCAGCGUUGUAAACUUCUUUUGGAUGGGAACAAUAAUCGAGACUUGUCUUGACUUGAGGGUACCAUCAGAAUAAGCACCGGCUAACUCCGUG
rnacentral:rRNA from 1 species